rnacentral:rRNA from 1 species
CAAGUCGAACGGUAACAGGUGUAGCAAUACGCGCUGACGAGUGGCAGACGGGUGAGGAACACGUACGCAAUCUUCCUCUUUCUGGUGAAUAGCCCUGAGAAAUUAGGAUUAAUACACCAUAGUAUUACGAAAUGGCAUCAUUUUGUAAUUAAAACUCCGGUGGAAAGAGAUGAGCGUGCGACUGAUUAGCUAGUUGGUAAGGUAACGGCUUACCAAGGCAACGAUCAGUAACUGGUGUGAGAGCACGACCAGUCACACGGGCACUGAGAUACGGGCCCGACUCCUACGGGAGGCAGCAGUAAGGAAUAUUGGUCAAUGGAGGCAACUCUGAACCAGCCAUGCCGCGUGAAGGAUGAAGGCCCUCUGGGUUGUAAACUUCUUUUAUCUGGGAAGAAAUCCACUGUUUCUACGGUGGUUGACGGUACCAGAGGAAUAAGCACCGGCUAACUCCGUGCCAGCAGCCGCGGUAAUACGGAGGGUGCAAGCGUUAUCCGGAUUUACUGGGUUUAAAGGGUGCGUAGGCGGGCUUUUAAGUCAGUGGUGAAAUCUCCGGGCUCAACCCGGAAAUUGCCAUUGAUACUAUUAGUCUUGAAUUAAGUUGAGGUGGGCGGAAUGUGUCAUGUAGCGGUGAAAUGCUUAGAUAUGACACAGAACACCGAUUGCGAAGGCAGCUCGCUAAACUUAUAUUGACGCUGAGGCACGAAAGCGUGGGGAUCAAACAGGAUUAGAAACCCUGGUAGUCCACGCCCUAAACGAUGAUUACUCGAUUUUAGCGAUACACUGUUAGAGUCUAUGCAAAAGCAUUAAGUAAUCCACCUGGGGAGUACGACCGCAAGGUUGAAACUCAAAGGAAUUGACGGGGGUCCGCACAAGCGGUGGA